CUGCUAACCCGGGGGUCCUGCGUUGCGCAUCGUGUUUUCGGCUGGCUGCAUCGGCCAAAACGCUUCGUGCGGCGUGGGUGAGAAAUACCCUUUGAACCUGAUCUGGAUAAUGCCAGCGCUGGGAAGCGUUCGGGUUCCACGG
rnacentral:ncRNA from 1 species